rnacentral:rRNA from 1 species
UACGUAGGGGGCUAGCGUUGUCCGGAAUCAUUGGGCGUAAAGCGCGUGUAGGCGGUCCGGUAAGUCCGCUGUGAAAGUCGGGGGCUCAACCCUCGGAUGCCGGUGGAUACUGUCGGGCUUGAGUACGGAAGAGGCGAGUGGAAUUCCUGGUGUAGCGGUGGAAUGCGCAGAUAUCAGGAAGAACACCAACGGCGAAGGCAGCUCGCUGGGACGGUACUGACGCUGAGACGCGAAAGCGUGGGGAGCGAACAGG